GCCCACGACCCCAGUUUCAUGAGUCUAUCGUUCAAAGUUCGUUCUCCGAAAUUAAGCAGCGUCGGGCGCGGUUAGUACUUAGAUGGGGACCGCUUGGGAACACCGCGUGUUGUUGGCA
rnacentral:rRNA from 1 species